rnacentral:rRNA from 1 species
UACGUAGGCAGCGAGCGUUGUUCGGAAUUACUGGGCGUAAAGAGUGUGUAGGCGGUGCUCCCAGUCUGUUGUGAAAUCUCCCGGCUUAACUGGGAGGGUGCAGCGGAAACUAGAGUGCUAGAGGGUGGGAGAGGUAAGCGGAAUUCCUGGUGUAGCGGUGAAAUGCGCAGAUAUCAGGAGGAACACCGGUGGCGAAGGCGGUUCUCUGGGCCUGUACUGACGCUGAGGAGCGAAAGCGUGGGGAGCGAACAGG